rnacentral:Y_RNA from 1 species
ACGGCGAAUGCCGGAAGGACUACAUCGACUUGUAAUCGCCAGGUCGCGGGUUCGAAUCCCGCCAGGUCCACCAAUUAUGGGCCUGUAGCUCAGCGGAUAGAGCAGGAACGUCUUUCCAGAACCUCGUCGCCGUGAA